UGCACACACCGCCCGUCACACCACGAGAGUUUGUAACACCCGAAGUCGGUGAGGUAACCUUUUUGGAGCCAGCCGCCUAAGGUGGGAUAGAUGAUUGGGGUGAAGUCGUAACAAGGUAGCCGUAUCGGAAGGUGCGGCUGGAUCACCUCCUU
rnacentral:rRNA from 1 species